GAGGACUGAGGAGAUUGAAGGAACAGGAAACCAGGCAGAACAGGCAAGACUGAUGCUGAAAAACAGGCAUUACUCCUUAUUUAGGUAUAAACAGGACUGGCAAGAGUCAAAGAAACUGAUGACCGUGCUCAGAACAUGCUCAGCUUUUUUACUCAUUAGACAGCCAUGAGCUUUAAUGUCCUGCCAUCUGUGCAAGCCAAACAGCAAGAAAAUCAGAACAAUAAAGAAUUUUUAAAGAAU